rnacentral:misc_RNA from 1 species
GUGGGAGGGGGCUUGCUCCCGAUGGCGGUGGGUCAGUCAAAAUACCUGUGACUGGCAUGCCGCCAUCGGGAGCAAGCCCCCUCCCAC